AUCUAAUCCUUGAGGUGGGUAUGAGCCUCUUUUGGCGGUCGGCAAGGAUGGGAAAGAUGACAUGAUUUCACGACUCAUAAAGAAAGUGAUGGAGCUGUAGCUUGAAUUCUUUUACUUCAAAUCCACAAUGCCAUGCCUUGCUCCAGUGAAGGACGGACUGCUGUUCUGUCUCCUAAAACCCACACAGCUCGCCUGGAGCUUCAAAUGUGAGAACACAUUCCAGCUGCAGGAUCAGAGGACUUUUCCUACAGCCCAUAAGUGCCUGCAGCUCUAUCGGAUUUGCAAAUCUACAAAAGAGAGCACAUCCUAUUGUUCCCGGUUUUGAGUUUUUUUAAUAGUAUGUCUUGUAAAAUGCUGGUUGCUGGUGGACAGGGGUGUUUUACAGAUAGGUGUGACUCAGGAGGGGAAAUGGGUGGGCAGAGACAGCCACAAGGAAUUCCACACAUGAAGGAAAUGCUCCCACUUGUGUUUUCUAUUUGUGUUUUAAAUUUGGGGAGCGACUCACAGGCACUCAGCAAAAGUAACUAAUUAUAUUAACCUUAUCAGUAGUGAGGUUUCCUGGUCUCUCAUCAGACACUCAGCUCACUGGCUGGUAUUUAAUUGGGAGCCUGGUGGCCAGUGAAAACAGUGUGGGAUGAGUCACACUUUAACAAGUUUUUAUAGUACAGCAACCUUGCUGUAUAAUAGCCAGACAUUAUUAAAAUUCAGAUAUGGUACACUGACUUGUUUGUUUUCCUUAUUCACAUGAAACAGAUGCUCAGGACUCAUUUUACUUACACACAGUAAAUGAGGGUCAGCUGUGUUGAGGGAAGUGAGUACUUUGUUCUGGAAGGAUAGAUGUUGUAGCAAUUGUCUUGCUCUGAUUGUAUUUGAAAAGAAUGAAUGUUGUUAGUACAAUUUGGUAUUCUUCCAAUGCCUAGUUGGAGUUCAAGGGAUAUAAAACUGGGCGCUUGAGGAGUGGGAUGGAAAAGGAUGGAGAAGGAAGGUCAAAUAUGGCUUUGAAGGGGAUCAGCAGAAGCCAGAGGCCGCAGUGGUGAACACUCCUUGUGAAUGGCCCUUUGCACCCACGGCUUGGUGAACCCAGCAUGGACCGUGGAGAGAGGACCUGCCUAAAAACCAGAGACGGGGUUUGCCUCUCCGCAUCACCACUGGCUUGCUGCAUCAAGAAUCUGCCUUUCAGCUUCUUCACCUGAAACAAGGUGAUUGGGAUAGCUGGUUUUAUUUAUUUAUUUUUGAGGCCAUUCUAGCACUUUGUAAAGUCCAAGGGGGUGUGGUAUUGUAAUUCUUGGAAUAAUACAAUGAACAUCAGAUGCUUUGAAGUUUUCCGUUCGGUGGAUUCUGGGAUUCUUUUCUGAAUGAGUGAUUACUAGCCAACAGGAAUCUCAUGGUUCAACCUCAAACUCAAAAGUUAUUUCGGGGAUGGAAAAUGGUAAGAUUGGGGAAAAUCCUUCCACCUUCACCCCUGUGAAUUAGGAGUCUUGUUAAUUAGUAUACAU
rnacentral:lncRNA from 1 species